UCGGCGUGCACGCGCAUGCAGGACCAGGCACGUAACCGUUUGGAGACUGUCUGGAGUCUGUCUGAAAUAGAUAAAAUUGAAAAUGGACUUUUAGAUAUCUGUGUUCAUUUACAAGGAAGCCGCCUGUUGGAAAAUGGGAUCUUUGCUCUCCUCCUCGAGCGCCUUCGCCCACCAGUCGCCACGCUCUGGCAAAAAUGUAGAUUUUUUUUCUAGAUAAACGUUGUGAAAGUUUUUUCUUCUGCAGUCUAUCAGGAGACAGCUCUUUAUGCACAGGGAAUCACCCUUCAGCCCUGGAGUUCAAGAGGAGUGCACCAUCCAGAAGGCAGCCUACAAGAGCACAGAAAGGCCUGUCCCUAACCUGAACCAGUGUCUGACAAAAAAUGAUUGGAAAUGCAAUUAGAAAGGAGAGCCCUGGUUUCUUGAAGUCUGUCAUGCCUUCAUAUGUUUGACCCUGAAGUAUACCCGCCCAAAUGGUGCUGCAGUGAGUGAAUGCGAUUGCCUGAGGGAAAUAUCAGUCCGCUGCACACCAGCAUUUCCAGAGCUUGAGCUCCUGCCUGCAAUGCCAGUUCUGCAUGAUAUGAUGGACUGGCAGCUUCUUCUUAACAGCUCUAUUGCAAGGCACUCUACAUCCAAACUGCAGUGUGGAAAAUUUAAAGUGCAGGGAGCUAGCUGGUGUACUAGGAGGAAGAUGUCAUGCUAAGGAUGGGUUUUGGUGAUGAUGUUGCUACUGUUGAUGCAGCAUCGAGCUCUCACUUUGUGCCUCUGUCAGCUAUGAUCCGUAACCACAAAGUGAGUGACAGGCCAGUCCCUGGGGAAAGCAAGGGGGCCUGAGGUGAGUCAGUUGUAUCCUUGACCCUGUCUGGCUGUGUGUCAGCGAGCAACACAAACUCUGUAUAAAAAAAAAGAAAAAGAAAAAAAAAAAGGCCAAAACUGGCAUGACUGUACAUUGUACAUCUUUAUUUAGUAUGUAGAAGAAGAAUGUAGGAGAAACAGAACCAACCUGAGUUUUUCUGUUAAGUGGAUCCGUUUUGUUGUUGUUGCUAGACUCAUUUUGAAAUUAUAAUGAAGCGCACAUUACAAAUUGAUACCUUUGAUACCUUUGUGUGCAUUUCUCUUCCACCAGAGUGCUGAUGUUUUAAUCUUGGCUUUGUGAUGUUGUUACAGACCUGUUUUAGACAAACUCAGCACAAAUUUUGUAUACACUGUUUACUCCAGUGCAUUACAUAUGGCUUAAAUAACACAUUCAUGCAAGGAAACAUAAAUCUGUUCAUUACUGAGGGUAAAUUUUACUCAGGUUUGAAGUUGCAAAGUGGCAUAUUCACUCAAAUUAGCAUUUUGAUUUUUUUCACUUAAAAUAACUGAAGCUGAUGAUUGAGAAAAUCUUUAUUAAUAUAGCUGUUGUACAGGAUAUGUGGUCAAAUGGUAGAAAAAUGUUCCACUGUUAAUCAGCUGCAGCACUAGGUGUUGCAAUACUUAAAGAUGGUGUAACGUUUGUACACGAUGGACUCAAAAUGAGGGGCCUGGAAAAUGUUAUCCACAUCUCAGGAUUUCUUAUUAGAGCAAAUACCUGAUCAGUUUGAGAAGGUGUCCAAUUGAGAAGAAAUUUUUGAAUUUAUUGAAUUGCGAUAAAAUAUCUGUUUUAUUUCUGGCCUUUUUUUGUUAUAUUCAUGUACUGACAAAUUUAAAAAUAUAUAGAUUUUAGACUUUUAAUCAGAUAAAACUGUUAAUCUGAUGAUAAUGUUUAAGCAUUUUGUGUUUGGGGAUUUUGUGUAUCUAAUGUCUGAACAAUAAAUGAUCAAUGCAAAAUUUAAAGAAUAUAAUGAUGAUUAGUGAAAAUAAUUUUUGUAGUUGCUGCUUUUAGGUGUAAAUGUACAUUCAGAAAUUGAUAUCUGCAGAUGUUCCAAAAGAAAACAUUGUGUUUUGUGCCAUGCAAGAUAUUUGCUUCCACUUGCCAAAAAAGAUGACCCAUAAGACAUAUUAGGAAAUUAUUUUAAAAGUUGGUGUUUUUUUUUUAGUUCUAAAGUGCUUAUUGUAAUAUUUUGUAGCAGCAAUCAAAGACAAGAGUUCAUCCAAAGCCGUAGUCAGUGUUACACCAGACGCAUUCUGCAAAAGACAUGAUUCAACUUAAGGUGCAACUGCAAGAAAUGAUGUAUUUAUGUUAAAUUAAAUGUAAGAUAACUAUGACCGUAAUAUUAAAUAACUUUUUAUUAAUAAACAUUUCCUAUUCUGUAA